rnacentral:rRNA from 1 species
UACGAAGGGGGCUAGCGUUGUUCGGAUUUACUGGGCGUAAAGCGCACGUAGGCGGAUUGGUCAGUUAGGGGUGAAAUCCUGGAGCUCAACUCCAGAACUGCCUUUAAUACUGCCAGUCUCGAGUCCGGAAGAGGUAAGUGGAACUCCUAGUGUAGAGGUGGAAUUCGUAGAUAGUAGGAAGAACACCAGUGGCGAAGGCGGCUUACUGGUCCGGGUA